rnacentral:rRNA from 1 species
ACACAUGCAAGUCGAGCGGUAGAGAGAAGCUUGCUUCUCUUGAGAGCGGCGGACGGGUGAGUAAUGCCUANGAAUCUGCCUAGUGGUGGGGGAUAACGUUCGGAAACGGACGCUAAUACCGCAUACGUCCUACGGGAGAAAGCGGGGGACCUUCGGGCCUCGCGCCAUUAGAUGAGCCUAGGUCGGAUUANCUAGUUGGUGAGGUAAUGGCUCACCAAGGCGACGAUCCGUAACUGGUCUGAGAGGAUGAUCAGUCACACUGGAACUGAGACACGGUCCAGACUCCUACGGGAGGCAGCAGUGGGGAAUAUUGGACAAUGGGCGAAAGCCUGAUCCAGCCAUGCCGCGUGUGUGAAGAAGGUCUUCGGAUUGUAAAGCACUUUAAGUUGGGAGGAAGGGUAGUAACUUAAUACGUUGCUACUUUGACGUUACCGACAGAAUAAGCACCGGCUAACUUCGUGCCAGCAGCCGCGGUAAUACGAAGGGUGCAAGCGUUAAUCGGAAUUACUGGGCGUAAAGCGCGCGUAGGUGGUUCAGUAAGUUGGAAGUGAAAUCCCCGGGCUC